AAUUGUAUAAACGUGGAUAAGUCCUAACCAGCGGUUAUCUUUUGGUUAUCUCCCUGGUUUGGUCAAGUUAUCCGUAAACCGAUUGUAUAAAAAAUAAGUUAUCCUAACCAGCGCGUGAUUCGGCUAACUUUUGGACAAUAUUUAACCGACCACUGGGAGUAUGGUUAACUGACUUAUCCAAAACAAAGAUGGCGGACCAGACAUAAACAAGCUCGAUUCCAAACUUAUUUCAACGAUUUUACAGACACAUGGACUCUGCCUAAAUAAAAAACAAAUGGUAUAACAUCGAUAUCCAUGACAGUGAUGAAUUUAGAGUUGAGUGGUUUUACCAUCCAAAGUCAGAAGAACCAGUGUUGAUAAGUUCUACACAUGUCUGCUACAGCAGGGAAUGGAACCAACACCAGAUCUAAUACUUCACGAGCAGUAAGGAUAUACAUAGCAUUAUCAGAGUGUAGCGGUACUAGCCACUUGAUGACCAAGUUCAUCUGACAGACUCCUGUUUUAGGAAACACCACAAACAGGAACUUAAAAGUUCAUGAGAGGAAUAGAAAACGUUUCAAAUUGCUGCUCCCAGAGGGCUUAAUUGUCA